CGGUAAGAGCGGCGGACGGGUGAGUAACGCGUGGGUAACCUACCCUGUACACACGGAUAACAUACCGAAAGGUAUGCUAAUACGGGAUAAUAUAUUUGAGAGGCAUCUCUUAAAUAUCAAAGGUGAGCCAGUACAGGAUGGACCCGCGUCUGAUUAGCUAGUUGGUAAGGUAACGGCUUACCAAGGCGACGAUCAGUAGCCGACCUGAGAGGGUGAUCGGCCACAUUGGAACUGAGACACGGUCCAAACUCCUACGGGAGGCAGCAGUGGGGAAUAUUGCACAAUGGGCGAAAGCCUGAUGCAGCAACGCCGCGUGAGUGAUGAAGGCCUUCGGGUCGUAAAACCCUGUCCUCAAGGAAGAUAAUGACGGUACUUGAGGAGGAAGCCCCGGCUAACUACGUGCCAGCAGCCGCGGUAAUACGUAGGGGGCUAGCGUUAUCCGGAUUUACUGGGCGUAAAGGGUGCGUAGGCGGUCUUUCAAGUCAGGAGUGAAAGGCUACGGCUCAACCGUAGUAAGCUCUUGAAACUG
rnacentral:rRNA from 1 species